AUAGCGUAUAUUAAAGUUGUUGCAGUUAAAAAGCUCGUAGUUGAACUUCAGACCUGGCUGGGCGGUCAGCUUAUCGGCUUGUACUGUCUGGCUGGGCCUUACUUCUUGGUGAGCCGGUGUGCCCUUUAUUGGGUGCGUUGGUGAACCAGGACUUUUACCUUGAGAAAAUUAGAGUGUUCAAAGCAGGCCUAUGCCCGAAUACAUUAGCAUGGAAUAAUAAAACAGGACGUGUGGUUCUAUUUUGUUGGUUUCUAGAGUCGCCGUAAUGAUUAAUAGGGAUAGUUGGGGGCAUUGGUAUUGAGUCGCUAGAGGUGAAAUUCUUGGAUUGACUCAAGACCAACUACUG
rnacentral:rRNA from 1 species